GUCUAUGGCCAUCCUGCCUAGACUGUGCUUAAUCUUGUCUGAUCUCGGAAGCUAAGCAGGGUCAAGCCUAGAUAGUACUUGGAUGGGAUACCACUUGGGAAUACUGGGUGCUCUAUGCU
ensembl:rRNA n-R5s152 nuclear encoded rRNA 5S 152